rnacentral:lncRNA from 1 species
GGAGAGGGAGAGGGCGAGGAGGGAGAGGGAGAGGGCGAGGGAGAGGGAGAGGGAGAGGGCGAGGGCGAGGGCGAGGGAGAGCCUGGUUUCUCACUUCUGCUUCCUCCUUGUGGCUCCCACGCUGUGCCGAGCCAUUCAGCCUGCACAAUCCAGACAAUGGAUUUGCCUCUGAAGUAGGGGCUGGCAGCUGCCUACAAAAUUAUCCGUUCUCUGUUUUUCCUUAAAAACAGUACAUUUCAUUCAGGAUAGCAAUGUGUCCAGUCAGCUAAAAGACUGCAUUUCCCAACCUCCUUUGCUGUUAGUUGUGACUAGGUGACUGUGAUAUAAGCAGGAGUGUUGAGGGGGAUUUCCUGGAAGGCUGCUUUA